GCGGGGGGUGGCUGAGGGCGGCCCGGAGCCCCUCGGCGCUGGGAAGGGCUCGGGCCCGCAGCCUCUCUGCCCGGGCCCUGCUGCCCUCUGCUGCCUGUCAGGGCCGGGUGAGAGAGAGGAGUUCGGGAUCGGGCUGUCUGCACUGGGUUCUCUGAGCCUCCAUGUGCCACCAGACCUGUCCUUGAGGGGACACCUGUGCCCUGUGCAGUAAGUCCUGAAGCACUGGUUGUGCUUUGUGCUCCACGGGGUAGCUCUAGACCCGAUUUGUUCCUCUGCUGAGCCAAGCUAGCUUGUGCUGCCAGAACUCCUGUGUGGAACAUGCCUCUCACUUGCUAGGAGGCACCACCACAGCAGCCCUGCAGGAAUUCCCCCGGGAUAUCCUGGAAAUAAAAACUUCCCAGGAAAGGGAGGUGCUGGAUGCCCCAACCUUGGCAGUGUUCAAAGCUGGGUUGGCUCAGGCCUUGAGCAACUUGGGCGUGGGACUCGAUGGUCUUUAAGGUCCAUCCCUACCCCUAAUAUCCUAUGAUUCUAAUCUUGGCUCUCUCUUGGGACCAGCCAGCCCUGUGUGCUGAGGAGGGCUUGGUGGCUGUGAGCUGGGACUUCUGUAGUGCAGAGUGGCCGUGUUAGUGUCCGUUUCUUGCUGGGCAGAAACAUGUUCCAAUUUGCUCCUCAUGGCCCCGAGAACAUCCUGUUGAUACUCUG